UACGUAGGGUGCAAGCGUUGUCCGGAAUUAUUGGGCGUAAAGGGCUCGUAGGCGGUCCAUCGCGUCGGGGAGUGAAAAGCUGGGGCUUAACCCCAGUCCUGCUUCCGAUACGGGUGGACUAGAGGUAGGUAGGGGAGAUCGGAAUUCCUGGUGUAGCGGUGAAAUGACGCAGAUAUCAGGAGGAACACCGGUGGCGAAGGCGGAUCUCUGGGCCUUACCUGACGCUCAGGCGCGAAAGCUAGGGGAGCGAACAGG
rnacentral:rRNA from 1 species